rnacentral:rRNA from 1 species
UACGUAGGGUGCAAGCGUUAUCCGGAAUUAUUGGGCGUAAAGAGCUCGUAGGCGGUUUGUCGCGUCUGCUGUGAAAACUGGGGGCUCAACCCCCAGCCUGCAGUGGGUACGGGCAGACUAGAGUGCGGUAGGGGAGACUGGAAUUCCUGGUGUAGCGGUGAAAUGCGCAGAUAUCAGGAGGAACACCGGUGGCGAAGGCGGUUCUCUGGGCCUUACCUGACGCUGAGGAGCGAAAGCGUGGGGAGCGAACAGG